UGGGGAAUAUUGGACAAUGGGCGCAAGCCUGAUCCAGCCAUGCCGCGUGAGUGAUGAAGGCCCUAGGGUUGUAAAGCUCUUUCACCGGUGAAGAUAAUGACGGUAACCGGAGAAGAAGCCCCGGCUAACUUCGUGCCAGCAGCCGCGGUAAUACGAAGGGGGCUAGCGUUGUUCGGAUUUACUGGGCGUAAAGCGCACGUAGGCGGACUUUUAAGUCAGGGGUGAAAUCCCGGGGCUCAACCCCGGAACUGCCUUUGAUACUGGAAGUCUUGAGUAUGGUAGAGGUGGGUGGAAUUCCGAGUGUAGAGGUGAAAUUCGUAGAUAUUCGGAGGAACACCAGUGGCGAAGGCGGCUCACUGGACCAAUACUGACGCUGAGGUGCGAAAGCGUGGGGAGCAAACAGG
rnacentral:rRNA from 1 species